GUUUCUAUGGUGAUGGUCUUCACUUCUCAUGUUCUACGCCCCCCGUGGAUGCUGGGUCGCCGGCGCCGACGCACGCCUAUGACGUUACUGGGAGACCCGGAGAGCGGAGGAUGGUGUGUGCACGAGGUGUUCGGCAUAGCGAAUAAGACACAUUUUCGGCACAGAAGAAGCAAAAAAAGACGCCCGACGCUAGAAGAUUCUCGCACGACCUCGCGUGUCAAGAGGGGCUAUUUGGCAUGACUGCAGCAAAGAUAAGGACGAAUGGAAUAACAAUAAUAUUCUACAAACCAUCUUCCAGAAAUCAUCUUACUACAACUAGAAAUCGUUUUAGUGUUGCACCGUUA